rnacentral:lncRNA from 1 species
UUCAAUUGCACAGUAUUGCACAAUAGCAAGAAAUAUCUAAUUGCACAAUAUUGUGCAAUAGCAAGAAAUUCCAAUUGGAUUUCAAUUGGAGUUAUCUUUCUUUGUCCAGAAUAGUAGUUGAAUCAACUUAAAUCAUUGUUUUAUACAAUAUACAAUGUAUAUUCACUUUUACUACCAACUGAUAGAUUAAAACAAUCUUUACCAUUCAGUGAUAACAAGCACUUUUUUUACAUUUUAAUAUUUUAUGAUGUAUUUAAAUGAGUAGUUAUUGUUGCAAACUUCAUUAGAAAUUUGAAUUGAGAUCAGUUUUGAAAUAAGGGAAAGGGGGAUGUGAAAAAAAAUUGGGGGGUCAAUUUUUUUCAUUUCAGAUUUCAUAAAUAAAAAGAAAAUUUCUUCAAACAUUUUUUUGAGAGGAUUAAUAUUCAACAGCAUAGUGAAUUGCUCAAAGGCAAACAAAUUUUUUUAAGUUCAUUAGACCACAUUCAUUCUGUGUCAGAAAGCUAUGCUGUGUCAACUAUUUAAUCACAAUCCAAAUUUAGAGCUGAAUCCAGCUUGAAUGUUGUGUCCAUACUUGCCCCAACCGUCCAGGGUUCAACCUCUGCGGUCGUAUAAAGCUGCGCCCUGCGGAGCAUCUGGUUGAUGAAAUCAAACAAAGUUUAAUUUUGGACCCUUUGGGCCCCUUAUUCCUAAACUGUUGGGACCAAAACUCCCAAAAUCAAUCCCAACCUUCCUUUUAUGGUCAUAAACCUUGUGUCAAAAUUUCAUAGAUUUCUAUUUACUUAAACUAAAGUUAUAGUGCGAAAACCAAGAA